rnacentral:rRNA from 1 species
AGAGUUUGAUCCUGGCUCAGAACGAACGCUGGCGGCGUGGAUAAGACAUGCAAGUCGAACGAGAGAAUUGCUAGCUUGCUAAUAAUUCUCUAGUGGCGCACGGGUGAGUAACACGUGAGUAACCUGCCCCCGAGAGCGGGAUAGCCCUGGGAAACUGGGAUUAAUACCGCAUAGUAUCGAAAGAUUAAAGCAGCAAUGCGCUUGGGGAUGGGCUCGCGGCCUAUUAGUUAGUUGGUGAGGUAACGGCUCACCAAGGCGAUGACGGGUAGCCGGUCUGAUAGGAUGUCCGGCCACACUGGAACUGAGACACGGUCCAGACACCUACGGGUGGCAGCAGUCGAGAAUCAUUCACAAUGGGGGAAACCCUGAUGGUGCGACGCCGCGUGGGGGAAUGAAGGUCUUCGGAUUGUAAACCCCUGUCAUGUGGGAGCAAAUUAAAAAGAUAGUACCACAAGAGGAAGAGACGGCUAACUCUGUGCCAGCAGCCGCGGUAAUACAGAGGUCUCAAGCGUUGUUCGGAAUCACUGGGCGUAAAGCGUGCGUAGGCUGUUUCGUAAGUCGUGUGUGAAAGGCGCGGGCUCAACCCGCGGACGGCACAUGAUACUGCGAGACUAGAGUAAUGGAGGGGGAACCGGAAUUCUCGGUGUAGCAGUGAAAUGCGUAGAUAUCGAGAGGAACACUCGUGGCGAAGGCGGGUUCCUGGACAUUAACUGACGCUGAGGCACGAAGGCCAGGGGAGCGAAAGGGAUUAGAUACCCCUGUAGUCCUGGCAGUAAACGGUGCACGCUUGGUGUGCGGGGAAUCGACCCCCUGCGUGCCGGAGCUAACGCGUUAAGCGUGCCGCCUGGGGAGUACGGUCGCAAGAUUAAAACUCAAAGAAAUUGACGGGGACCCGCACAAGCGGUGGAGUAUGUGGCUUAAUCCGAUGCAACGCGAAGAACCUUACCUGGGCUUGACAUGUAAUGAACAACAUGUGAAAGCAUGCGACUCUUCGGAGGCGUUACACAGGUGCUGCAUGGCCGUCGUCAGCUCGUGUCGUGAGAUGUUUGGUUAAGUCCAGCAACGAGCGCAACCCCUGUUGCCGGUUACCAGCACGUGAAGGUGGGGACUCUGGCGAGACUGCCCAGAUCAACUGGGAGGAAGGUGGGGACGACGUCAGGUCAGUAUGGCCCUUAUGCCCAGGGCUGCACACGUACUACAAUGCCCAGUACAGAGGGGGCCGAAGCCGCGAGGCGGAGGAAAUCCUAAAAACUGGGCCCAGUUCGGACUGUAGGCUGCAACCCGCCUACACGAAGCCGGAAUCGCUAGUAAUGGCGCAUCAGCUACGGCGCCGUGAAUACGUUCCCGGGUCUUGCACUCACCGCCCGUCA